UAACAUAUCAUCGUUCUAUUACCACUCUUUCGUGCAAUUCUGAUUAUUUUGCUGAUUUUAAAGGGUUGUUACGAUCGAUUUCAAGAGUUGGUUCAAAGUUCAUCAGCACCGGUUAUUGGGGUUGCGAUCACCGUUAUGGUAAUUGAGCUGCUGGGCUUUGUUUUUGCCAUUGUCCUAUGUAAGCAGACGGGAUCAGAGUCUAUGGCUGUGUAGUGCUACCGCUAGGAUUUACACGAUAGCAGUAAAGCCAGAACAAACUCCAGCUCACCGCUGCUGUCUAUCCACGCAAUGAUCCAGAUAUAAAGAUUUCUAAUCAGCUUAUGUAUAGCUUUGUCAAAGUAUAGUAUGUAAACAAUCAAAAUUUUAUAAUCUUUUAUAAUUCGAUAUAGAAAAAUAUAGCUUUAUAUUUUAGAAACUUAUAUUAAGUACAUGUCUAUUAUUCUCUUUAAAAUUUCCCCUAAAAUUAUGAAGUGUUAGAGGAUUUAUAUCAUAUAAUUUAAUUUAAAAGUAGACUAUCUUUAUUGCAUGCAUCUCAGUAAAAAUUUUGCCUUUAUUUACCGAUGAUUAUUGGAAAAAUAAUAAGAAAAAAGUUUGUCAUUUGUGAAAAAGUUUUUUGUUUUGUUUCGUUUAAAUUUGAAGAAUGCUGUCUUAUUUAAAAGACCUCAUCCCCAAGCAGGGAUUGUUUAAUUUAUGUAGCUAUUGUUUCUUUUGAUAUAAAUUUUGUAUUUGUCCUAGUCAUUGUUAUUUUUUUGUUGUUUUAAUUGAGUUGUCUUUUUGUUUACAUUUUUACACAAAUAGUGGAAAUUACAAUUACCAACAACAUUUAUUUUUUACUUUCUAAAAAUAUUCAAACUGCAAAAAUUCUUAUAUGAAAAUUAUGAUUUUUACGUUAAAAAUGUGCUUGAUAAGAAUGUCAGUUCUUGAGUGUAGAGGUUUCGAAUUUUGUUUGGUCACUGUUUUCAUCAGGUAAAUAGAUUUGCUUGUACUUUUUUACAAAUAAAUUUUUUUAAAAUAAAAUCUCGACAAUUGUA